ensembl:lncRNA LINC02611 long intergenic non-protein coding RNA 2611
AGAGCACUUUCAGUAAGAGAGCAGUGGCACGUUAGCAAAUGGAAGGGAGAAAAAGACAGCAGCAAACGUGGACAGGUUUGCGGGCUUUGUGGCAGGGAAGUGAGCGCGUUGCCUCUGAUGACUUUCAUUUCUCUCAGUUACACUGAGGUGAGGCCAACUGCUCUGUGUGUGGAAGCCAGAGAAGAAAGCAGCACAGAACAGAUGCAAACCAAGGAGGCUGGAAGAUAAGAGCAGAGCCAUCAGGACACGAGCCCCUCGCGGGUAUGAAACAGGAGUCGUGGGAGCAAAUUAAGCUUCCUGUGUGCAGCAUGGAUCUAAAGCUGGUGGAUGCAGGGGGGUGAACAAGACAACAUCUUCACUUCCUGCAUGCUGAUGGCAGAAGUGAGACAUCAGCGAAGAAACAUCACGAUCACCAAAUUACGAUGAACACCAUGGAGGAAACAAAGGACACUGUGACACCAAGGAAGGAAGGGAGGUUACUUUUCAUAGUGGCUGUAAAUAGAACUGAAGGCUGAAAAACAGCUGUUAAAAUGGCUUGUUUGUUUGAAGAUGAAUGAGAGUACACAAUAAAAGGAAAAAAAUUUGGACACAGACACACACAGAGGGAUGACCACGUGGAGAUGCAGGGAGAGGAUAGCAGCUACAGGCCAGGGCGAGAGGCCUCAGAGGAAACCAGUCCUGCUGACUCUUUGAACUCGGACUUCCAGCCUCCAGAACUGAACCACUGUCUUCCUUUAUCCCAGGAUGUCUGCAAGGAAGAAAAUGUCCUUUUUCUAGCAUUUAGAGGCCACCAACAUUGAAUAACCACACUGGGGUAGACACAGCGGCGAAGAGAUUCCUGCUGUUCCCAUCACAGCAGCCUUGGAGAUGAGAAGACAGAUGGAUCUGACCAGAAGUCUGGAGAACUUCGAGAAAAAAGGAGGAGGACACAAAAGGAAAUAACAAAAAAGAUGCAUCCGGAGCAACUAUGAGGAUGGUAAAUUGGUGUCUAAUUCUGAAAAUCAUAAUUGGUAUAAAUGCUAUGUACUGUGGAAGGAGGGAUGAAGGGUAGAGGGAAUAAAAAAGAACAUGAAGUUAGAAUCCUUGGCAUGAAAGCCUGCCAUUU